AGUGACCUAGUUUAACGGCCGCGGUACCCUAACCGCGCGAAGGUAGCAUAAUCACUUGUUCUUUAAAUGAGGACUCGUAUCAAUGGCACCACGAGGACUUUACUGUCUCCUUUUUCUAAUCAGUGAAACUAAUCUUCCCGUGAAGAAGCGGGAAUAAAUAGAUAAGACGAGAAGACCCCAUGGAGCUUUAAGCUUACUGCACCUCUAUUUUCUAUAACCUCUUAUUAAACGGAAUACUGCUUACUUAGCUUUAGGUUGGGGUGACCGCGGAGUAUAACAUAACCUCCAUGAUGAACAAAACUAUUUUCUUAUCUAAGAACAACAGUUCUAAGAAUUAGUAUUCUAACAUAAAAUGAUCCGAUAAUCGAUCAACGGACUAAGUUACCCUGGGGAUAACAGCGCAAUCCAUUUCAAGAGCCCCUAUCGACAAAUGGGUUUACGACCUCGAUGUUGGAUCAGGAUAUCCUAGUGGUGCAGCAGCUACUGAAGGUUCGUUUGUUCAACGAUUAAAAUCCU
rnacentral:rRNA from 1 species